rnacentral:siRNA from 1 species
AGAUCCACCAUUAUGCCACGUAAA